UGCAGUCGAACGGCAGCACAGAGAGAGCUUGCUCCUUGGGUGGCGAGUGGCGGACGGGUGAGGAAUACAUCGGAAUCUACUUUUUCGUGGGGGAUAACGUAGGGAAACUUACGCUAAUACCGCAUACGACCUACGGGUGAAAGCAGGGGACCUUCGGGCCUUGCGCGAUUGAAUGAGCCGAUGUCGGAUUAGCUAGUUGGCGGGGUAAAGGCCCACCAAGGCGACGAUCCGUAGCUGGUCUGAGAGGAUGAUCAGCCACACUGGAACUGAGACACGGUCCAGACUCCUACGGGAGGCAGCAGUGGGGAAUAUUGGACAAUGGGCGCAAGCCUGAUCCAGCCAUACCGCGUGGGUGAAGAAGGCCUUCGGGUUGUAAAGCCCUUUUGUUGGGAAAGAAAUCCAGCUGGCUAAUACCCGGUUGGGAUGACGGUACCCAAAGAAUAAGCACCGGCUAACUUCGUGCCAGCAGCCGCGGUAAUACGAAGGGUGCAAGCGUUACUCGGAAUUACUGGGCGUAAAGCGUGCGUAGGUGGUCGUUUAAGUCCGUUGUGAAAGCCCUGGGCUCAACCUGGGAACUGCAGUGGAUACUGGGCGACUAGAGUGUGGUAGAGGGUAGCGGAAUUCCUGGUGUAGCAGUGAAAUGCGUAGAGAUCAGGAGGAACAUCCAUGGCGAAGCAGCUACCUGGACCAACACUGACACUGAGGCACGAAAGCGUGGGGAGCAAACAGAUUAGAUACCCUGGUAGUCCACGCCCUAAACGAUGCGAACUGGAUGUUGGGUGCAAUUUGGCACGCAGUAUCGAAGCUAACGCGUUAAGUUCGCCGCCUGGGGAGUACGGUCGCAAGACUGAAACUCAAAGGAAUUGACGGGGGCCCGCACAAGCGUGGAGUAUGUGGUUUAAUUCGAUGCAACGCGAAGAACCUUACCUGGCCUUGA
rnacentral:rRNA from 1 species